GCUACUGAGAUUCUGCUGAAACAUAGAGUCUGAACUGCGGUUGAGACACAGGUCAGCUUGAGCUCGCCAUGUUUGCAUACAAGAAUUGCUGUGCCUUCGUUUUGUUGGCAUUUUGUUUAUUGCUCGUGAGUGAAGUGGCGUUUGCACCGAGAGGGGGUUCCAGAGGCGGGGUUAUCGAGAUGACGGAUAAGGCGGCUGCCGCAGCUGCGGCUGACACUGCAGCUGCAGUGGAGGCUCGGGCCCUGGUGGAUGAAAACAAGUAGAAGAAGAAGGGUUCUGCGAGCGAGAAAAAUUUAAUAAAUGUACUUUCCAUUUGAAAAA